rnacentral:lncRNA from 1 species
AAUAAUGUGCCCUCACUCCUGAUACAGUGGAGAGCAAAGUAAAAACAGCUAAACUAUUCAAAAGAAACAAUAAGAAAACAUUAUAAGGCAUGAAAACCCAAUCAAACAGUUGUAUUUCAACAUGAGAGAAACAGUUUGCAGCAGAUUUUCAGUUUAAAUACAUGUUUAAUUUCAUGUUUAAAUGCAAGCCAAAUCUCAGAUUUAGGACAGGGGAUCUUCAUUAUCCAGAUGAAUAUUCCUGCAUAAGGAAGUAGGGAAAAAGGCCUGUAGAAACCUCUGUCAUGGUAGGUUAUAUGCAGAAUCCAAUGCCAGCAGCUGGCUAUAUGUGUCUGGGCUGGCAUGGUUGACUCUUUCCCAAGGAUGGUCAUCUAGUGGGUUCCUCUUCCUGACAUCGCAGGUACAAUUGGCCAUGAUGCCCUCUGCAUGGUCAAACUAUAUGUUUCCUAAGAGACCUUGGGCCCACUUCUGUCACCUUACAUGGAUCUGUUAACAUUACACUGGAUAGGUUAAGCAAUGACCUGUAUUAUGAUAGCCAGUUCAUGAUGUCUAUAUAGUAAUCUCUUAGGACAUGGUAAAUGAUUAUGAUCAUCAUUAGUUUUGCCCCAUGUGUCAGGUUCUUCAUUUAAAUUGGAAGCUUAUUCUUAUACUUACUACGUGCUAGGCACAGUGCGAAGAGAGAUAAUAUUUAUUUUCAUCUGGAAUUAAUGUCAUUCUAACUCCAAAAGAAAUGACUAGAGAAGAUUAGGGAAGCCCAGACAACUUGUCACGUAGCAGUCUCAAUCAAAAUUCAUUAAAAAGAAAAGACGAUUAUAAAUGAGGAAGAAAGCAAUAUAUAAAUAUUUCCUGUUUUAUCAUUAUGUAUUAUUUUAUUUGCUACUGUCUCUGAACCAUGGUAUUUUGAUAGGAGUUUUAUAAGUUCCUAGAAUGAUAUUGUACUCAAUUGUGCAUAUAUUAAAACUUUUUAAAAG